CACUCCUACGGGAGGCAGCAGUGGGGAAUUUUGGACAAUGGGCGAAAGCCUGAUCCAGCAAUGCCGCGUGAGUGAAGAAGGCCUUCGGGUUGUAAAGCUCUUUUGUCAGGGAAGAAACGGUGAGAGCUAAUAUCUCUUGCUAAUGACGGUACCUGAAGAAUAAGCACCGGCUAACUACGUGCCAGCAGCCGCGGUAAUACGUAGGGUGCAAGCGUUAAUCGGAAUUACUGGGCGUAAAGCGUGCGCAGGCGGUUUUGUAAGUCUGAUGUGAAAUCCCCGGGCUCAACCUGGGAAUUGCAUUGGAGACUGCAAGGCUAGAAUCUGGCAGAGGGGGGUAGAAUUCCACGUGUAGCAGUGAAAUGCGUAGAUAUGUGGAGGAACACCGAUGGCGAAGGCAGCCCCCUGGGUCAAGAUUGACGCUCAUGCACGAAAGCGUGGGGAGCAAACAGGAUUAGAUACCCGAGUAGUCCCAUG
rnacentral:rRNA from 1 species